UACAGAGGGUGCGAACGUUGCUCGGAAUUACUGGGCGUAAAGCGCGUGUAGGCGGAUGGGUAAGUCAGAUGUGAAAUCCCCGAGCUCAACUCGGGAACUGCAUUUGAAACUGCUCGUCUUGAGUACCGGAGAGGGUGGCGGAAUUCCUGGUGUAGAGGUGAAAUUCGUAGAUAUCAGGAGGAACACCGGUGGCGAAGGCGGCCACCUGGACGGUUACUGACGCUGAGACGCGAAAGCGUGGGGAGCAAACAGG
rnacentral:rRNA from 1 species